CCUGGCCCAAAGGGCCAAGUGAGCUUUUCCCAUCACUUGGCGUCCGGCGUCCGUCGUCGUCGUCCGGCGUCCGUCGUCGUCGUCCGUCGUCGUUAGCUUUUACAAAUAUAUUCUCCUCUGAAACUACUGGGCCAAAUUAAACCAAACUUGGCAACAAUCAUCAUUGGGGUAUCUAGUUUAAAAAAUGUGUGGCGUGACCCGGUCAACCAACCAAGAUGGCCGCCACGGCUAAAAAUAGAACAUAGGGGUAAAAUGCAGUUUUUGGCUUAUAACUCAAAAACCAAAGCAUUAAGAGCAAAUCUGAUAUGGGGUAUAAUUGUUUAUCAGGUCAAGAUCUAUCUGCCCUGAAAUUUUCAGAUGAAUCGGACAACCUGUUGUUGGGUUGCUGCCCCUGAAUUGGUAAUUUUAAGGAAAUUUUGCUGUUUUUGGUUAUUAUUUUGAAUAUUAUUAUAGAUAGAGAUAAACUGUAAACAGCAAUAAUGUUCAGCAAAGUAAGAUUUACAAAUAAGUCAACAUGACCGAAAUGGUCAG
rnacentral:lncRNA from 1 species